AAACAAACCACUACCUUACCGUAAAACACAGGUAAAAUGAAGUCUCUUACCCCAAGCAAUUUGAACCCACGAAAACUAAGAAACAAACUAGGAUUAGAUACCCUACUAUGCUUAGUUGUAAAUAAGACGCCCCCCAACACAAGCGUCCGCCAGAGGACUACAAGCGAAAAGCUUAAAACUCAAAAGACUUGGCGGUGUCCCAAACCCGACUUAGAGGAGCCUGUCCUAUAAUCGAUAACCCACGAUAAACCCGACCACCCCUUGCCAACCAGCCUAUAUACCGCCGUCGCAAACCUACCUUACAAGAGAACAACAGUAGGUACAACAGUAAAACCACUAAAACGUCAGGUCAAGGUGUAGCUAAUGGGGUGGAAGAGAUGGGCUACAUUCUUUAACAUAAAGUAGACAGAAAAGGCCAUGAAAUAGGCCUCAAAAGGAGGAUUUAACAGUAAG
rnacentral:rRNA from 1 species